GACGAACCGUCCAAACGUUGUUCGGAAUCACUGGGCUUAAAGGGCGCGUAGGCGGGCCAGCAAGUCCGGGGUGAAAUCCUCCGGCUCAACCGGAGAACUGCCUUGGAUACUGCUGGUCUCGAGGGAGGUAGGGGUCUGUGGAACUGAUGGUGGAGCGGUGAAAUGCGUUGAUAUCAUCAGGAACGCCGGUGGCGAAAGCGACGGACUGGACCUUCACUGACGCUGAGGCGCGAAAGCUAGGGGAGCAAACGGG
rnacentral:rRNA from 1 species